UUAAUCCUCACUAGGGUCGCGGGGGGUGCUGGAGCCUAUCCCGGCCAUCUUCGGGCAGUAGGCGGGGAACACCCUGAAUCAGUUGCCAGCCAAUCGCAGGGCACACAGAGACGAACAACCAUCCACGCUCACAUUCACACCUAGGGAAUAGUAAACCAAAAACAAAAAAACUCACCUCACAUCCUCCUUUUGAAAAUAGAUAUAGGCGUGUCACAAUUGUACAGUACGCGACACAUUUCUGCUUUCACAAUAAAUCAAGUCUAAUAGAAACAUUAUUUUACUUACUGACAUAUCCUGGCCGCCAAGAAGAGAGAUUAGGAAGCGUAGAGGGGAAUCCAGGUAUAUAAGACAUUUUCGUGUCAAAACAAGCACAAUUUCAGACGUGCACGACACAAGGCGAAACUCUGACGAACCUGACAAGAAAAAGAUUAAAUAGAAUAUUUUUAGCGGUCGCAAGGGUGCAGUGGAAUGUAAAUACAGUGUGCUGAGCGUAUGAAGCUCCAAUCGGCGCCGCCGAGAUUGCAAAGCGUCACAUGUACGGUACGCUAUCAACAAUGCAUGAACUAAUUAAGCCGCACGGGUGUAAAGCGUGACAUCUUAAUUGGAAAUAGAAUGGUCAAAUCUGUCAUCAUGCCGCUGACUAAGGCGUUGCUCAGAGCACCGUAGCCAUCAUUAUCAGUAAAUUAAAGUACACGUUCAAUGACAGCGUUGACAUUAGGUUUUCAUUAUUUGUUUGACAGUCUAAUUACAAUUCAAAGGAAAGACAUACGGAUGCGCUCUCAAUGACAUUUAACAUACGACCCAAACUCGAGAAAACGGAAAUCAAAUUCUGUAAAUGAGAACCUCAUCGUCCAAAGUCUUCUACUGAUGAAGUGAAAUGAAAAAGGAACAAAUCUGGUACUCGCCUCAUUAUAUUUGACCAUCCUUCCUGUUUAAAGUCGUGCGAGAUUGCAAGGACCUCUCUUGUGCAAAGCCAUCUUGAAUUCAGGCCACAUAUUUCCACUUGGAUUACGUUUGGGCUCUGGCAGGGCCAUUCCAAGCUAACUUUCUUUUCCCCAAGUGAUGAAAACAUGAAGGCAAAAUUCCUUGUCAAAUGUCAUCUUCUGCAACACUUAUUUUUGUAUUUGGAAAAGUUGAUCAGUCACUCUACUUAACUUUGAAAAAUGCCAAAGCACACCAAACCAACAGUGAAUUGUGGUGGUGGCUGCAACAUGAACAGCGGCUGUUUUCCUUUAGCUGAAAAUGGGUCUGGAAUUAUCCGCAGUUCCAAACCCUGUCAGUUAUUCUGACAGAAAUAAAACAACAAAUUCCUAAAACAUGCAAUUCAGUGAUUUCUUUUUUUUUUUUUUACAUUUACAUCCCGAUAGAGCUUAUAGACUGCGUGAAUUGUGGAACGAUUUGUCAUUUGGGGUGUGUCGACUUUUUAUAUCCACCGUAGAUCACAUUAUAUAUGGGAACAAAUGCGGAAAUAUUUAUUGAGGCCGAGGAAAAAUGUGUUUUUCUUUUACCUCAACUUCCGCUUCAAGUCAAAACUCCAGCCUGAGUGUGACAGGUAUAACCCCAAAAGCAAGUUAAGAUUGCAAAUGUGGGACUUUGUCAUUUAAA